GCCCCAGCCAUGUAAAGUGCUCUGUGGGAAAGUAUCAGCCCCCUAAAGAGAUGCUUAGAGCCUGCAGCUCAUUAAACGGCCAGCAUUUGCUGCCUCACUUGUCAGGAAUUAUUCUGUCGAGCAACUGCUUUCCUGAACCAUUCCCAAAACACAUGCACAGAGGCAGCAGCGAUCUGAAUUCAACCGUGAUGGGGUUCGGCACAAGAGCCUGACUCAACUCUUAAUUUCACUUUUCACCUGACAGAGCUGUUAAGCUGAAAUCCAGCCACUCUGCUAUAGAAAGGCCAAGAAACUUGGAAAGCCCAAGUGUGAAUGCUGCAAUAAACAGCUCCAGUUGAGCAACCAGUCAACAGAUGGCAUCAGUGCCAGCCAUGAAAAAGACAUCUGGUGGUCACUAAGAACAGGAAGGAGGUGGCACACCCAAAGAGAACUAUCAUGGAGUCUAAGCACAGCUUAGGUUCCAAUAUCUGAACCACAUCCAUGGCAAACAAAUAUAAAUAAAAUCACCCUUGG
rnacentral:lncRNA from 10 species